rnacentral:tRNA from 1 species
GGCGCUAUAGUGUAGUGGUUAUCACUCGAGAUUCUGAAGCCUUUCAUUCGUGAAAGACAAUAGGAGCUUCUCGGAACCCAGGUUCGAGCCCUGGUAGCGCCU